GGCGAAACAACAGGAGAGAGGACAGGCGAGAUAUAUAGAGAAGACCAGGGAGAGACAUGUUGAAGGAGAAGGACUAUCAAGUAGCAGUAAGCAAGAUGAAAAAGAAGAGAACAGACAGAACGACAGAGUUCUAUUACAUGUCAGAUCCUUUUUGGACGUCUCCUCUCUUACGAUUCAUCAGUUGAUACAAAGGAUGUAGAUAUGUUCCUUGUACGACCAGAGUGAAAAAGAAUUGUGGGAAAAAAGAGUUAGCUUACGAUGAGAUUUCAAUGAGAGAGAUUGAGCAGAUUCAGCGUCGAGCGGGCCAAUCAACUCUUUAUAAUUCGGAGCAGAUUCAGCAAAUCAUACUCUUUUAGACAGAUCUGGUUUUGGGUGGAACUCUGAAACGAAAAGAAAAACAGAGCAGAUGAUGAAGUAUUGAAUGUGUAUCUAUAUGUGAAUGUGAAACUGAAGAGAUAAAGACGAUAACAAAACACUGCAACUGGACAGAAUGCAGUGGGACUGAGUGAUUCUAAGAGGCCUAUCAAUUUGAAGAAAGCGAGAAGACAAAUGAUAAUGACUUUGUCGGUGUGAUAGAUGAUGCAGAAGGAAUAAUAUACGAGCAACCAUUUGAAUAU